GAGGCGCUGGCCUGCGGCGACGGCCUGCACAUAACGGUUGCGACAAGGCAAAUUCGCUCUGCAAGCCGGCGAAAUCGGACGAUGCGCGUGCGCUCGCGAUGCGUGCGCUUCG
rnacentral:tRNA from 1 species